rnacentral:rRNA from 1 species
GACAGAGGGGGCAAGCGUUGCUCGGAAUUACUGGGCGUAAAGGGCGCGUAGGCGGGAUGGCAAGUCGGUCGUGAAAUCCUUCGGCUCAACCGAAGAACGUCGAUCGAUACUGCUGUUCUUGAGGGUUGCAGAGGAGACUGGAAUUCCCGGUGUAGCGGUGAAAUGUGUAGAGAUCGGGAGGAACACCGGUGGCGAAGGCGGGUCUCUGGGACGGUACUGACGCUGAGACGCGAAAGUGUGGGGAGCGAACAGG